rnacentral:lncRNA from 1 species
ACCCUCCAGGGAUUCUACCGACGUCCGACCUUCGGCGACAUCUUUCCGAACCUCCCCGACGGCCGAGCCUCCACGAUGUUCCCAAGUUCUGCCAACGGAUAAACCUCCACCAGUGUUGGCCGGAUUCUCCACGGUGAACGGACUCCCUCCAGGUGUCUACGGUGGUCGAGCCCCUUCCAGACUUCAUCCGGACUCCUACGGGAGCCGGACUUCAUCCCCGACUC